GACAGAGGGUGCAAACGUUGUUCGGAAUUACUGGGCGUAAAGCGUGUGUAGGCGGCUUUGUAAGUCGGGUGUGAAAGCCCCGGGCUCAACCCGGGAAGUGCACUCGAUACUGCGAAGCUUGAGUACUGGAGAGGUUGGUGGAAUUCUCGGUGUAGAGGUGAAAUUCGUAGAUAUCGAGAGGAACACCGGUGGCGAAGGCGGCCAACUGGACAGAUACUGACGCUGAGACACGAAAGCGUGGGGAGCAAACAGG
rnacentral:rRNA from 1 species